rnacentral:hammerhead_ribozyme from 1 species
AUUUAGCUGACGCGUCCCAAAUAGGACGAGAGGCGCAUCAAACUGGAU